GAGCUUCGUUUAUCACGACAUCAUGGACAGCAGAAGAUUUUCUGUGGAGGACCCGACCUCCAGCUGCAGAGUGAGGAGAGAUGAGCGGUGUCACGCGUUCAUUUCUUCCCUCACUCAGCACUCUUUAUUUCCUGCGUUCAUUUUGAUGAUUAUCAUCGUGAACUCAUUCGUCAUCACUCUGAAAGAAGAAUACAAUAACCCAGGGCUGUUUAGGGUGGACGUUGCUGCGUGACUGAUCUCGUUUUUCCCGGUGUGUGAUUGCCUGUUCCAGUUGGCGCUGGUUAUAAAAGGUCUUUGGUGUUUUGGUGCAAUAUGGAGCAGUUUUUUGUCUUAUUUGUCUUCGCACAGUUCCGCUCCCCUGGCUGCCCGCCAGUGGACAGACCAGUUACUGUGGAUGAUUUGCUGGCCUACAGGUGCCUGUGGGCCAGUGAAGACACUUUUUUAUCAUCUUGUUUCUUUUUUAUGAAAGGAAACGUAGGAGAGGCCUGCCCUGUUGUUUGAUCUGUUGGACUUUGUUUAUUGUAGAGGUUUUAUAAUUUCCUUUCCCUUUCUCUUGUUAGUUUAGUUAGUUAUAUUUUUUAUUUUUAUUAAGCUCUUUUGUUUGUUAUUUUGGGCCUUGGGCCUCCCUGAAGUUAUGUUUCCUUUAUUUUUUGUGUCCUUGCUUCAGUUGACUGCUGAAAAUAACUUUGAUGA